GACGAACGCUGGCGGCGUGCUUAACACAUGCAAGUCGAACGGAAAGGCCCUGCUUUUUUGGGUUGCUCGAGUGGCGAACGGGUGAGUAACACUUGAGUAACCUGCCCUUGACUUUGGGAUAACUUCAGGAAACUGGGGCUAAUACCGGAUAGGAGCUCCUGCUGCAUGGUGGGGGUUGGAAAGUUUCGGCGGUUGGGGAUGGACUCGCGGCUUAUCAGCUUGUUGGUGUGGUAGUGGCUUACCAAGGCUUUGACGGGUAGCCGGCCUGAGAGGGUGACCGGCACCAUUGGGACUGAGAUACGGCACAGACUACUGAGGGAGGCAGCAGUGGGGAAUAUUGCACGAUGGGCGGAAGCCUGAUGCAGCAACGCCGCGUGAGGGAUGACGGCCUUCGGGUUGUAAACCGCUUUCGCAUGUGACGAAGCGUGAGUGACGGUAAUGGGUAAAGAAGCACCGGCUAACUACGUG
rnacentral:rRNA from 1 species